rnacentral:lncRNA from 1 species
UGUAUCUUAUGUUUCAGAUGCCAUUCAUGGUGCUGAUGACAGGGUAGCAAGAAAGUAGAGUCUACCCACAAGGAACUUGCGCUCCAGUGUGGAAAUAUGGAUUCGCCUCAGUGGAUGAGUGAACACAGUUCAGGUGAUCCUCUUACCCCAGCUUCUUUAGAUAAGGAUUAUCGGCAUGAAUCACCAUACCUGGUAGAGAUUGAGACUUUAAAUGAUUUCAAACUGAUUUGUCAGAAGACAGAUUGUGAAAUUCUGGCAGAAAAUUGGCUGCACAGCAAGCUGUAAUGGCAUCUAUCAUGAAUAUGGAAUGUUGACUCCAGCUUCUCAAUGGCUUUGUGGACCAUUAGGAGUUGAGACUGUGGUCCUAGGAAGACUUCACACGUAUUUCUAGUUCCUGGGACAACUGAAAGAGAGGAGGAUUAGUCUGGAAGACGUCUAUGUUCACACAGAUUGUCCAGUGGCUACCUUGGAUGGUAUGGGAGCUUUGAGAUUGGUUUCCUUUUGGCCAGUGCCUCUCAUUUGAGUCAA